AUUUGGUUUUAACAGUUUACUUAGUAAAUUCUAAUCACAAAAUCGAAUCUCAAAAAAUGAACUUGAAAAUUGUUGCAUGUCUAUUUGUAAUUCUGGUGAUUGGAUGCACAGGAAUAAGGGCAGAUUGUGGUGAUCAGAUACCCGGAAAAAUUGAGAAGCACACUACAUUUCGAAGAUCCAGAAGAUGGCCGAAAACGUUUCUCCCAUUACUAGGAUAUCCGGAGAACGACGAUAUCAUUGAUAACAACGAAGAGACUGAUUGGUUCGAAUGAAGCAACAUGUCUUCCUAAAAUAUCUAUUCAGUUCUGAAUUUAUUAUUUUUCUAACAUAGAACGGACUAAAUAUAUUUCAUGAAGCUCUGAAAUAGCCUUUUCAUUCAGUAAAAAUUUAAUCACUGAUUUUGUAUAAUAAAUGCCUCACUGUUAAAAUAUGAAACUUCAUUUUAUUAGUUGAUUAUUUCCACUUUUCAAAACUAUAUCAGGGCUUCUAAUAAUAAUCUUAUAUUUUGUGUUCCAAGUUUCCAAAAAGUAAACCAUUUUUACGUUCGAUUGGGAGUGCGAAGUUUAUGUGUUUU